UACGUAGGGUGCGAGCGUUGUCCGGAAUUAUUGGGCGUAAAGCGCACGUAGGCGGAUCAGCAAGUUAGGGGUGAAAUCCCGGGGCUCAACCCCGGAACUGCCUUUAAAACUGUUGGUCUGGAGGUCGAGAGAGGUGAGUGGAAUUCCGAGUGUAGAGGUGAAGUUCGUAGAUAUUCGGAGGAACACCAGUGGCGAAGGCGGCUCACUGGCUCGAUACUGACGCUGAGGUGCGAAAGCGUGGGGAGCAAACAGG
rnacentral:rRNA from 1 species